UACGUAGGGUCCGAGCGUUGUCCGGAAUUAUUGGGCGUAAAGGGCUCGUAGGCGGUCUGUUGCGUCGGGAGUGAAAACUUACAGCUUAACUGUGAGCGUGCUUUCGAUACGGGCAGACUUGAGGCAUUCAGGGGAGAACGGAAUUCCUGGUGUAGCGGUGAAAUGCGCAGAUAUCAGGAGGAACACCAAUUGCGAAGGCAGCUCGCUGGGACGUAACUGACGCUGAGACGCGAAAGCGUGGGGAGCAAACAGG
rnacentral:rRNA from 1 species